AACAAAGUGAAUUGAAAUAUCUUAGUAACUUUAGGAAAAGAAAUCAAACGAGAUUGUUCUUUAGUGUCUGCUAAAGAAUAAUAGCCUAAUAUUUGUCAUUAGGAAUUUAAAUUAGUUUAAACUAAUUUAAAGGAAUUUUGAUGGAUUUAAAGUAAAAUGGAUUAAAUCUGUUUGAAUAAAGGGGAACCUUCCUCUAAGGCUAAAUAUGAUAUAUAAGCGAUAGUGAAUAGUACCGUGAGGUAAAAUUUGAAAUAGUAGUUUUAUAAGCAGCUCGAGUAAAAUUUAAAUAAAUAAUAAGAGCGUACCUUUUGCAUAAUGGGUCAGCAAGUUAAUUUUAGAUGCAAGCGAUGAUUAUACAAAAUCUAGCUUAGAUAAACCAAUUAUGAAAAAAUGAGUAAGUAUCUAGGAUUAGACCCGAAGGCUAGUGAUCUUACCAUGGUCAGGGUUAUAAAAGCCCGAACGGGUUAUCGUUGUAUAGAUAUCCGAAGAACUGUGGUAAGUUAGUGAAAGACAAAACUGACUAGUAUAGCUGGUUUUCCGCGAAACCUAUAUGAGUAGGUAAUUUAAUUAACAUCUUAGCAGGUACAGAACUGUGAUCUCGGACAAUAUCUUCAAUGAAGAUUUUGUAAACAUCGGGGGAUUGUAGUGAUUUUACCGGAGAGUAUUUGCACUCGGAAUGGCAAAGAUGAAUGUUGAAUAAUCGGACAUAGUACGAUAAGGUUGUAUGUCGAAAGGGAAACAGCCCAGAACAAGAGUUUAAGGUUCCAAAAUUAUUGUUGAGUGAAAUUAAGGAUGUUUUUUUUUAAUACAAUCAGGAAAUAGGCUUAGAAGCGGCCAUUUUUUGAAGAUCUCGUAACAGAGCACUGAUUAAUUUUUUAGAAAAAAAUACCGAAAAUUUAACGGAUCUAAACAAUAUACCGAAACCUUGUACACAUAUGUAUAAUUAUCAUGAAUAAUUGUAUAUGUGGGGUAGCGGAACAUUGGAUAUAUAUUCAUUAUUUUUUCUUUUUAAGAAUUAAUAAGUAUGAAUAAUUAGUAACUAAUAUUUAAAACAAAUUAUUUGUUUUAAGGAUAUUUAUGUAAAAUCUUUUACAAAGUAAAAUGUAUAAAAUUUUAUUUAAAUAUAUAGAUAUAUUAUUUUAUAAUAUGUCUUUAUUAUGAAAAUUAUUCAUCGAUAUAAUCCAAGAGAGAAUGCUGACAUGAGUAACGAAAAAGGAAUAUCCUCGCCUUAAGCUUAUGGUAUUUUAUUUAAUUUUCGGUAUCUAAAUUAUUAAUCAAAAGGUAAUUUUGAUGAUAUUUUUAUACAAUUAUUUAAGUAAAGAACAAAACCUUUAUUAGUAGUAAAGGUUCUGGAAAAUUUUUUACUUAAAAUAUAAUUGAUAUAUACCGUACCUAAAUACUAUCGCAAGUAAGCAAGUAGAGUAUACAAAGGCGUUUGAGUGAACAAUCAUUAAGGAACUCGGCAAAUUGACUACCGUAACUUCGGGAUAAGGAGAGCCAUUUUCAUUAGUUUAACUUAGUUUUUAACUAAAGAGGCUAAGAUUUUAUUAAACUAGUGAAAAGAGGAAGCAUGGAAUAAUGUUGUACGACUGUUUAAUUAAAACACAGCACUCUGCAAAGAUUAAAUAUCAAAGUAUUGAGUGUGAUGUCUGCCCAAUGUCGGCUGGGUAACGGAUUUAUCUUAGUUUUUAACUAAGGUUUUGAAGGAUACCCCGAUUAAUGGCGGCCUUACCUAUGAGGGUCCUAAGGUAGCGGAAUACCCUGGCCGUUAAAUGCGGUCUUGCAUGAAUGACUUAACGAUACAACAGCUGUCUCGAUGAUUGUCUCAGUGAAAUUGGAAUAGCAGUGCAGAUACUGUUUACCUCUAGAUAGACGAGAAGACCCUAUGCAGCUUUACUGUUACUAAUUACAAGAGUGGAAAUUUAGGAUAAUUGCGAGUGUAUAAGGUAAUUGACAGAUAUCAAUGAAACACCUUUAUUUGUUCCUAAUAUAUGCUCUUGAGGAUUGGGAGGCAGUUUAUGCGGGGCACAGAUCCCACAAAAAGUACCUGGGUAUAUCCAAAGUUCAUAUUGUAAACUUGUAAACUAUAAUUUACAAAAAUUUUAGUUUGUUAUUAAUUAUAUAUUAAUAAUUAUACAGUUAUUGUUAGAUUAAAUUCAAUAUAUUUUUUAUUUUAAGUAAGAUUUUAACUAUAUGGUGAAUAGAUGUAUUUAAAACUUUAAGAUAUUAAAAGUUUUUUUUCAUAUUAAUAUUGUAUUAUUAUACCUUUAUUAAUAUGAUGAUUAUCUAUACUUGAAAAGUUUAAUGGCUUAAUCUUGCUUUACUGUCUGACCUACAAGUCUAUCAGUCGCGUAAGCGGGGCAUAUGAUCACAAGAUGCAUUAAGGAAAGGUCUUGGAUUAUAGAAAAAGUUACGCUAGGGAUAUUUGCGCAAGAGAGUACAAAUUGAGUGCGCGGUUUGGCACCUCGAUGUCGGCUUAGCUCAUCCACAUGAAUGCAAAAAUCAUGAAGGGUUCGACUGUUCGUCGAUUAAAGAGCUACACGAGCUGGGUUUAAUACGUCGUGAGACAGUAUGGUUUCUAUCUUCUAGAGGGAAUUAAAGUAGAAUAAAGAUAGCCCCUUCGUACGAAAGGAGUUGGGUAUGUUGACCUAUGGUUUACCUGUUGUUUAUGUUAUAUAUAAUUAUUUAUAUAUGAUUUACUUAUACUAGAGUAAAUUUCCACAUAUGCAUGGCAGGAAGGCUACGUCAAUUAAAGAUAAGUGCUGAAAGCAUUUAAGCGCGAAGCUUACUUUAAGAUACUUUUAAACGUAGUAGAACACUACGA
rnacentral:rRNA from 1 species